rnacentral:lncRNA from 1 species
CGGUGACUUAUUUUUUUUACUCCCGUAUUAUCACAUACAGUUUCUAAAAUAUGGAAGGUGACAAUAAAUACGUGUUAGAAAAAGUAAGUCCCAUCAAUAUUUUUCUAACUACUGUAUAUACUCACUAGCCAUAUUGUGCAUAAUAUAUAGAGAUUGUAGUUAGAUUUUACUUGGCACUUUUUCUUUACUAGAGUUCAACUCUUCCAGAUGAAUUGAUCACAUCCAGAGAUUUAUGGAGUCUUAACCCAGCAUCCUCCAUCCCAGGAGACAAAUGCCACCACCCACCUUCCUUUUGCCUUCUAAUAAUUGAAGAACUGCAUUCUCACUAACCACUACUAUCCUAAAUUACUCAGUUAAGGUCUAGGAAUCUGUGGGAAAAUUAUCUUAUACUCUUAAUUAUACGGUCCCAGAAAAUUAAAAAAACUCAGUCAGUUGAAUGAGAAUCACUGCUUAAGGGUUGGCGUUUGGGAAGGUCAGGAUUCUUCGGAGAUUGUGCUAACAUUGAAUACAUUAUCCUCAAGAUGUCUGAAGGGGAGUGGGUAAAAAGAGAGAGGAGGAGUCUCACUGAAGAUUGGGAAAAAAUAUGAUCACAUUUAUUUUUGUAACUAUCCCUUUAAAACAUCUAAUUUUUAAUACACGAGUGCUAAAAUAUGUGAUUAAUAAACUUAAAAAAUUAACAAGAGAGCGCAAGAACUCCUACUGGUAAUAUACACUAUCAAAAUGUUUGCAAACUACUAUCUGACCUAUUGUAGUAUAGAGCUGACUUUCUUUUUGAACUAAAAAAUUCGAACAUAUCUUUACAGUCAAAGUCUGACUUACUCCCAUGUGAAUACAUUUCCUUUGUUUAAGUUUGAGAGUAGAAGAAAAGGAGUAGGAAUGGAAGAGGCUGAGAGGGAGAGGAAGAAAGGAAGGGAGGGAGGAAGGGAGGAAAGAGGCAAUGCUACUGUUCCUUUUUUUAUUGCUGUUCAGCCCUCGAGAAGAUAAGUGCCUGUCAGCUUGGUAAGGCAGACAGCUAAACAGGAUUAGAAAAGUAAUCAAUGACAAGACAGGCACUAUAGAUUUCCCCUCCCUCUUACGCAUACAAAGAUGAAACCCAGCAACUCAUCUGUUUCCUACUUAGUGGCAAAGUCAGUUGUAAGGACUGAGCACUGUAAUGAUGAAAGAAAUAAGAGCGAAAUGAUAUGGUUUUGAGACUUGUUUAUUUAUUUUUAACUUUUUAAUUUUAAAUUUUACUUUCCAUUUGCAGUUAUUACAGAUGUUACCUAUACUUCUUGUUUUGUACAAUAAAUACAUCCUUGAGCCCAUCUUACACCCAGCAGCUUGUGCCUUCCACUCCCCCACUCUUAUAUGGUCUCCCCACUGCCCACGAGUAACCACUAGUUUGUUGUCUAUAUCUGUGAGUAGGCUUUUUUUGGUUGUUGUUGUAUUCACUAGUUUGUUGUACUUUUUAUAUUUCACAUAUGUAAUAUUAGGCAGUAUCUGUUAUUCUCUGACUUAUUUCACUUAGCAUUAUGCCCUCCGAGUCCAUCCAUAUUGCUGCAAAUGUCAAUUUUGUUCUUUUUAUGGCUAAUAUUCCAGUGUGUGUGUGUGUGUGUGCGCAAAUAUAUAUCCACAAUCUUUAUCCAUUCAUCUAUUGAUGGGCACUUAGGUUGCUUCAUGGCAAUUGUAAAUAAUGCUGCUAUGAACAUUGGGGUACAUGUAUCUUUUUUUUUUUUUUUUGCUUUUUAGGGCCACACCUGUAGCAUAUGGAGGUUCCUAGGCUCCAUAUCAGAGCUACAGCUGCCAGCCUAUGCCACAGCCACAGCAAUGUAGGAUCGGAGCCACGUCUAUGACCUGCACCACAAGCUCAUGGAAAUGCCAGAUCCUUAACCCACUGAGUGAGGACAGGGACUGAACCCACAACCUCAUGGUUCCUAGUUAGAUUUGUUUCUGCUGUGCCACAACAGGAACUCUAUAUCUUUUUUAAUUAAUGGUUUUUCAGAUAUAUACCCAGGAGUGGAAUUGCUGGGUCACAUGGUAGUUCCAUUUUUGGUAUUCCAAAGUGGCUAUGCCAAUCUGCAUUCCCACUAACAGUGUACAAGGGUUUCCUUUUCUCCAUAUCCUCACCAAUAUUUGUUAUUUAUGUACUUUUUGAGGCUAACCAUUCUGACAAGUGUGAGGUGAUAUCUCAUUGUAGUUUUGACUUGCAUUUCCAUGAUAAUUAGCAAUGUUGAGCAUUUUUUCUUGUCUUUUAGCCAUCUGCAUUUCCUCUUUGGAAAAAUGUUUUUUCAGUUCUUCCCAUUUUUUAAUUGUUGUUUUUUUUUUAUGUUGAGUUGUAUGAUCUGUUUAUAUAUGUUGGGUAUUAAUCCCUUGUUGAUCAUAGCACUUACAAACAUUUUAUCCCAUUCAGUAGAUUAUCUUUUCCCUUUUGUUAAUGAUUUCCUUCUUUGUGCAAACACUUUUAAGUUUAAUUAGGUCUCAUUUGUUUAUUUUUGCUUUUAUUUAUUUUAGGGGAUGGAUCCACAAAAAUAUUGCUGCAAUGCAUGUAGAAGAUUGUUCUGCUUAUAUUUUCCUCUAGGAGUUUUAUAGUAUCUGGUCUUACACUCCUAAGGGUGCAAUGACAACUGCAAUCUAGGCUAUUUGUCUGGAAUAAUAUCAUCUGACUUUGAUCCGAUUUUCAGAGAACUGUCCUUUUAAAAUGAUGUAUGAUUAGACUUGAUUAAUAGAUGCACUGACAUUUUAGGUGGAAGCAGUUUGCUUGCAGCCUGGCUGGGAGCUGCUCCUGGUCCUGAAUGCACACUCACACACUCAGGGCAGCUACAGAAAACUCACUGCAAAAUGUAAUAGACAGACAAUAAACUGAUGAAGGGCUAAUUAUCAGUUGGAGAGAACAAUCUUAUUGCAAAGGUGUUACAUAAUCCAUAGAUUCAAGGUGAACAGCUUCCUAGUUUCCAAGAUGAAUAAAAGGCUACACAUUCAUUUGAGGGGUAAAAUAAGUCUAAUAUUUUGUCUUUAUAAAAUACGUACUCUCCAUAAAGCUUGAAAAGAUUUCCAAGAGCCUCCAAACUGUUCUAGAAACAUUCGAAAAGAGAUCAUCUGAAAUUGUUUUUAUUCAUCAUGAAAUCCUAAAGCACUAUCAGAAUCCUUCAACUGGCAGAUAAUCCAAAUACCAACUUUUCAGGAAUGAUUGAGACCGUCUGAUAUGAAUUCCUUAAUUCUCUUCUUCACUUCCAAAUGUUAUUUCUUUAGAAGGAUUUAUGCACUCAAGAGCUCUGUUCCCAUGGGCUCUUGCGGUCUUCCCUGGCUUCUCCAGGACCAUGUUGUAUCAGUACAUACAUUAAAUAUUCCAACUCUCCCUUUCCUCUUCCUCCCUUUCCCCAAACUGCAGAGCUCCAAAUCUGUCUCUUCAGUUCCCCUUCCUCCUGAACCUGGUUAGCUUCUUCCUCUUACUGCAAAGCUUCUCAAAAGAGCCUUACUAUCUACUGCCGUCACUUUCUCUCCCUUUCUCUAUGUUGGCUCAUGUACUAUGGACACACUUCCCAUCUCUAACCAAUCUUCUUAUGAGGGUCACUGAUACUGUGCUAGAUUCAAUGGAUUUUUCUUAGGCCUCAUUCUGCUUGGCCACUAAAUUCCCUAAAGCCACAAUUUUUUUCUUUUGUUUGCCUUUUCUCAACUCUUUCUUCAGUUUAUAUUGACCUCUGCAGGGUCUCUCAUUAUUGACCAUAUCCUCCUUAAAACGUUUUCCUUCUUUGGCAUGCCUUCAUUCUGCAGUGGCCUAGUUCUCAUCCUUCUGAUUUCUUAUGACUCUGCUUUUUUAGCAUGCUCUUAUCUGCCCUGCAUCUAAAUAUGUGUUCUCCAGAGUUUACACCUUAACAUCUCAGGCUUCUCAUUAUGAUUUAUGUGCUAUCCCAUUAGAAAUGCCAUUUCCAUAGUUCUCAUAAUUAAGACUGUUGAAAUAAUUCCCAAAUAAAAUAUCUCAAGCCCUGAAACAUCUUUCAAACUCCAAACCAGACACACUGCUGUGUACAUUCCACAUAGUUGUAGAUAAAGCAUAAAAAUCAAAGCAUUUCAAUCAAAAGAUACCAUCUUACAUCUUAAUUUUAUGUCUCCUCCUUUCUGUGUUUCUGGUUCCAAUAAAUGACUACUUCAUCAUUUUAAUUUCUAAGAUUCCUAAGUGUUAUCAUCUAUUCCUCUCAUUUAUGACCAAUCCCCACCCUUAUAACUAUUGACUUAACUCUAAAAAAGUACAAGGAAUUCUCACAUACUAUCACAGAUGCAAUGAUCAUGUAUAAGCUCCCAAAGAUGCCUACAGGUUGAUGCGAGUCCUGACAACUCUGCCCACACAAUGACUUGUUCAUCCAUUUCUUUCAUUUUCACAAACUCCAAUUCAAACCCACAUAAACUCUAUUAUUGUCCAUUGUUACAGUCUCACAAGAGGCCUCACUCCUUCUACUCUCUUCUCAUAUCCAAAUGACCCUCUGCAUUGUUUCCAUAGUUACCAAUGCUAAAAGAAAUCUAAUCCAAAUAUUGGUCUGCUUCAAAAAAAAUCCCUCAGUGCCUCUCUACUGUACCUAAAACAAAAUCCAUUCUCUGUCUAGAACUUAAAUCUUAGCACAAUGUAUUUGUAUAUCUGGUCUGUGCCUGACCAGAUUAUCGAGUAUAUAUGUGCCUAGGCACAAUUUGGAUGCUAGGGGUACACAGAUCAUGCCUGUAUGAGAUUAAAUUGAGCAUCACAAAGCCACAGAUGAUUUUAAACACAACAUAACCCCCCCCCAAAAGCAGGACUCUUAUGGAGUAAUUUUUUAGGUCAAGAAGUUGACAAUAAUUCAAAAGUAAUUUCAGUCUGUACAUGUUUUUACAAAACAUUAUCAGAAAUUCAAUUUAUAUCCUACAGCAACAUUCCACCAAAAAAAAAAGUUUCUCUCCUGUUCAUUAAAAUUCUUCCUUUCUCUGUAAAUGCUAUAAAGCCCAUUAUUUCUUAAUUUAUUUUAUACUUAAAAAUUCCUCCCCAGUCUAACCAGAUAGCAAAGUCAAAGGACAUGGCAUUUGAGACAGAUGACAGGAUAGAAAUGGAAGUCAAACAAUGGUGGGACCUCAGCCAUAAGACAGAGUGCGGAACAAAACUCCAGCUUUGGAGCUACAGACUAACAUGGAGAAGAUAAAGCAGUCAGACUCCUGGCCUGGGCACAGAUCCAGUCUUGAAAGGGAAUUGAGAGAGACAUUAAGAAUAGUGGACAAUUUAGCAAUAGAGACCAAUGAAGUACCCACCCACACAGGUGUGUAUGUGUGUGUGUACACACAUGUAUGGAUUUAUAGGCAGAAGGAGUAAUUUAGAGAGUAGCAAUAGUUGGUAGCAGAGAAGACAAAAAUGAUGAGAGGCACAUGGAGGCUAUGUAUGUGGACAUGUCACUUUGGAGAGCUGGAGAUUUCUGAUGUAUCAGGUCAUUAAGGAGGCCAGUCAUUCUGAACUAAUCUCCUGGAUCCCAGAUAUGGGUAGCUGCUAAGUGUAGGCCUUCUUAGUAGAGGACUAGGAUGCCAAUUUCCUUGAGUUAACUUCCUCUUUAGAAAGGAUGGGUCCAAAAAUUCAAAUGAAGAUUGAAUCUCAUUCUUACUGCUUACAAAUGAAGCCAACAGUGAGUUCUAAGGGUAGAAAGAGGCAGAGAAAACUAUGGGCUGAUAUCUGCUACCUUUCCAGCAUUAUUUCCCAUUGCCUAUUUCUUAAUGUUCUUUUCAAUUUUGGGGAUGUCCCUCAGGGGCACAGGAUUAUCCAAUAUAUAAUUAUAGUUAUUUGUUCACAAUGUGCCAUUAUCAUUGUAUAAUGAACCUCCUUUAUCUUGCUUUAUUUGUUUACUAUUUUAUGAACUUAAUUUUUUAUUUUAUAAUAUAUGUAUGUAUAUUUAAACAGUAUAUUAUUUGAUGCUACCUAUUUAUCAAUUUUUAAAAAGGGAACAAUAUUGUUAAAAGUCCUCAAUGGCUUAUCUUUUUUGUUCCAUGUUAUGCUACAAAAAUUUAUCCAUAUUCUUAUGUUUAGAUAUAUAUUAUUUAUUUUCAUAGUUGUAUGCAAAUCUAUUGUGUACGUGGACAGUUCAAGCCUCCUGAAAAACCACUCUCUGUGCACAAACGCACCCAGCUUCUUUGCUUUGACUGAAGCUGUUCUUCUACCUUUUGUCCAAGACCAUAAGAUGUCAUAAAUGUUAGGAAUUAGCAGACAAGGGCAUGAAAACGUCUAUUCUAAAUAUAUUUAAAGAUUUAAGGAGUUCCUGUCAUGGCUCAGUGGUUAACGAAUCUGCCUAGGAACCAUGAGGUUGCAGGUUCGGUCCCUGCCCUUGCUCAAUGGGUUAAUGAUCCGGCGUUGCCGUGGGCUGUGGUGUAGGUUGCAGACGCGGCUCGGAUCCCUCAUUGCUGUGGCUCUGGCGUAAGCUGGUGGCUACAGCUCCGAUUCAACCCCUAGCCUGGGAACCUCCAUAUGCCGUGGGAGCGGCUCAAGAAAUGGCAAAAAGACAAAAAAAAAAAAAAA